CACCCCAUUUCUCUGUGUUUUAAGCACAUUGACCUGUUCCACCCUCUUCCCGCUCCUUAUUUUACACUGACCUGACACUGGUGGCUUCCAGCAGCUCACUUUGACAAGGAAGCCUUUCUGCUCUAUGGUCUCUGGAUCACCUUCCAGGGUGGGCUUGGAGGCCACUCUGGCAAGCACACCACAGCUGCACCAUGGGCCCACCUCAGAUCCAAGUUCUUCACCACGUUCCUGGCUGCUGGCCCUCGAGCUGACUGUCCCGGCCCACAGGUGGUAUUGCCCUCCUUCGUGAGGACUUGAACUGACUCCCGGCUGCCCCUUGGCUGUUCUCUGUCCCCAGCACGCUCAGUUCCUGCUUCUGUGCGUGGUCAGAGUGUCUGCUGGGGUCUGCACUCCAGGGUGCCUCUGCCCUCUGGCUUCACUCCCCAGCCAGGUAGUCACACCCAUGGCCCCUUUAUGAGGUCAGCCCACACCCUCUGAUGCUGCUCAAGUGAAGGACGCCUCUGGCCACCAGCCCUCCGAAGGCCAUGGGCUCACCAAGGGCUGCCAGUUUGCAGAAGUCCCUCACCUUGUCCCACACCCGCUGACUUUCUAAACUUCUGUCCUGUGGACUGUGCUGGGUACAUGUGACAACACCUCAAUGGCCACGUCUUUCAGAGCCCCAUUAUGCGAUGUCAUGACCCUAGAAGCAGAAGGAGCCAUCAAAGAACCAGGCUAAAGGACUUCGGGACCAAAAGGCCUUCGGGAAUGCACCUGGCCAGGAGCUAAGGGGCCACCAGCUGACAAGAGUUGCCAUCAGCCAUGCCAGGUGGAAAGUGUCAGCUGGCAAUGGCCAUGCCGGCCUAAGCUAUCUCUGUGGAGUGAACAAUGUAGCUCAGAAGAGCCAGCACAGAUCCCUCCCACCUGCCAGCCCUGUCUUCCCCCAUCUUGACGCAUGUCCCAGAGCACAAGUGUCCGUGGGAGGCUGCACCACACAGAGCCGAGAGAUGCCUGCAUCCUCCACUGAGCAUUCCACAGGGGAAGGAGUCUGGUAAAAGGAAAAGGACGGAGGUAGUGUUUGUUGAGCACUGUGGUGGGUGUGGACCCACAAGCCUGCAGGAGAACCAGAACUCUCAUGGGCUUCCUCAGGGCUGGGGUGGGGCCUCUUAGAGCUCCCAGGGCCUGUGCAUGGGCCCCUGUGGCAUAGGGACAGGAGGCAGCCCUCCUCUCCUCUUAGCAUAACUCCUCCUCCCUGCCAAUGUUCACAUCUCCAAACACAUUCUGUCUAAGGUGGGGUUAUCAGGACCACAGGCGCUGGUUGCUCCAGGAACUAUUGCCUCAUAGAAAGCAUUUUACUUUGCUCAUGUCUCAGGAUAAUCAGGAUUUUAGGAAAGGACCCAGUUAGGAAGGUCCCAGGAGGUGCAGGCCGGGGAGUGGCUGGGACCGCCAUCAUCUACACCAUGACUGGGCUCCCUGAUAAUGAGGAGGAGAUUUUACAAUGUAUUUAUUUAGAGGUAAUUCACACACUGUAGGAUUCACCCAUUUAAGCAUAUAAGUCAAUGACUUUAGCAUAUUCACAGAAUUUUAUAUCCAAACCACAAUCAAUUUUACAAUGUUUUGUUACCCUAAAAGAAACCUUAAACUUUUAGCCUUUAUAUGCCAAUUUCUCCAUCCCCUUUCAGCCCUAGGGGGCCACUGAUGUGCUUUCUCCACAGAUGUACCUCUUCUGGGCAUUGCAUGUAAACGGAAUCGCUGUGUGUAUGUGUCUGGUUCCUCUCACUUAGCAUGUUUCCAAGGUUCUUCCAGGCUGCAGCCUGUAUCACUACUUCAUUUAUUUUUAUUACAAAUCAUAACCUGUUGUAUGGAUAUACCAUAUUUUAUGUAUCCACUCAUUAAUUAAUGAGAAGCAGGGUUAUUUUGGCUAUUGUUUUGGCUUUUUGGCUGUUUUUGAUAAAAUACUGUUAUGAUCAUUCCUGUUCAGACUUUCAUGUGGACCUAUGUUUUUCUAUCUCUUAGGCAUAUACCUAAAAGUAGAAUUAUUGGGUCAUAUAAUAACUGUAUGUUUAACUUUUUGAGAAACUGCCAGAUGGUUUUCCAAAAGUAGUUGCACCAUUUUGCAUUCCCAUCAGCAGUGUAUGAGGGUUCUACUUGCUCUAUAUCCUUGCCAACACUUGUUACCUGUCUUUUUUAUUAUAGCCAUGCUAGUGGGUGUGGAGUGAGACAAGUGGUAAGAAUUUGACAAAUGUGACACCUGGAAAUUUUAAUUUUCAUAAUAUCAAAGGGCUCUUAUGAUAAUAAUUUUUUUUUUUUUUUGAGACAGAGUUUUGCUCUUGUUGCCCAGGCUGGAGUACAAUGGCAUGAUCUCAGCUCACUGCAACCUGUGUCUCCAGGUUCAAGCGAUUCUUCUGCCUCAGCCUCCUGAGUAGCUGGGAUUAUAGGCAUGCGCCACCAUGCCUGGCUAAUUUUGUAUUUUUAGUAGGGACAGGGUUUCUCCGUUUUUAUCAGGCUAGUCUCGAACUCCUGACUUCAGGUUAUCCGCCCUCCUCGGCCUCCCAAAGUGCUGGGAUUACAGGCGUGAGCCACCUUGCCCAGCAAGAAAAUUUUUUAAAAAGACAAACAAUCCAAUAGAAAAUCUGGGGAAAAGUCAUGUACACAAAUCACAGGAAAAUAAAUAUAAAUGUCUCUG
rnacentral:lncRNA from 1 species